rnacentral:lncRNA from 1 species
GCUUAGAGAACUAGGAGAGGGGACCGCCAUCUGCUGCCAGCUGGAGCCAGGGCACUGGCUGUCUCCUGUUGGUGGUGGGGAUGGAGCGGUCGAAGGGUGGCCUGCAGUGGGAGCUUUUCCUGCCGGGCAGGAGGAAGAGUAGAAGGGAGAGGCACGGACGCAUGCUGGAGGCUGGAGCUUGCGCCACCGCAGCUCGCCUCGCUGCGGUUGGUGGUGAUGUCGGACACUGCAGGUCUUCCAGAGUGGUAGACGUGCCGUUGGGUAGGCUUUUCUGGCUUUGCCCUCCCAGCUGCUCCAAGCCAGGAUGGAGGAGGAGGACAAGGAAGAGUCACCUGUGGUAAACUGGAGCCUGCAUAUGGCUCUGCAGCUGGUCUCACGAGAUUGGUGGCAGCGACGGAGACUGCAGCUCGACUGGAGUGAAUUAUCAGGAGCCACCAGGUGCUGCAGCAGCUUUGGGAUAACUUGAGGGCGCAUCCUGGGGAAGAAACACCUCCUGUCCAUGGUGCUAACUGCUGAGGACAGUGCUUCGGCGUGGCUUCUCCGUGGCCCAGCUUCUUUGGGGCGUUUUUCUUUCAUGGUUCAUCCAUAUGGCUCCAAAUGAAAAUUACAUUAAUUAUGGAUGAAGAGUAUUGUGUUGUGCAGAUAUACUGCAGUUUCUUCAUCCCUUCAUCUAUGGAUGGACAGGUUCCACAGUGUUGCCACGGAUGACCUGAUUUCAGUACCCGUGUCUGGCUGAAGAGUAUCUGGUUGUGACUGGAUACUGCAGUUUCUGGAUCUCAUCCUCUGUGGGUGGACAGGUUUCUCCAUCUUGCUGGUAGUGAACUGAUGUCCGGAAGUUUGAUGGCCGAAGAGUAUACCGUUGUGCAUAUAUCCUUCAAUUCCUGAUUUUAUCAUCUGUAGAAAGACAAAAAUCUUCAGACUGAUUUCCACAGUUUGAGAUCUAGUUUGCAUUACCUCCAAGAGAAUAGCCAUGUUUGCUUUUCUCUGCUGCCACACCAGCAUGUUAUGUUUUGACUUAGGACAAAUGGCCACUCUGACCAGCGUGUGAUGGCACCGGUACCUCAUCUCUGAUGAUUGGUGAUGUUGAGCAUUCCCCACGCCUGUUGGAAUGGCAAUCCCUUGGAAAUGUCUUCUCAAUAGUUACUACCCAUAGAGAACAGACCCUCCCAGUCUUCAGUGCACUCUAAAUACUUGCUAAUUCUGGCCAAUGGAAGGCAUCUGUGGAAGAAAAAAGCCUCAGAUCAUGUGCUAUCUGUCUUUAUUCAGUGUGACAUAUUAGGUUGUUUUCUUGGAUAAGAACUAGACGAAGAGAAAGGGAGAUUAGUGAUAAAUGUCCAGGUUUUCAAGUUGAAAAGUAACAAUCAGUGUAUUACAACAGAUGGAUGUGAUGUCAAAUUACAAAUGCUGAAAAUGUUAUAUGUAAUCAUGUAGCCAGAGUAAUCAUACAAGGCAAAGAACGGAAAGGCAUCCAAAUAGGAAAGAGGCUGGAAUGCAGUGGCACCAUCUCAGCUCACUGCAACCUCCGCCUCCG